rnacentral:rRNA from 1 species
AGUGAACGCUGGCGGUAGGCCUAACACAUGCAAGUCGAACGGCAGCACAGUAAGAGCUUGCUCUUACGGGUGGCGAGUGGCGGACGGGUGAGGAAUACAUCGGAAUCUACUUUUUCGUGGGGGAUAACGUAGGGAAACUUACGCUAAUACCGCAUACGACCUACGGGUGAAAGCAGGGGAUCUUCGGACCUUGCGCGAUUGAAUGAGCCGAUGUCGGAUUAGCUAGUUGGCGGGGUAAAGGCCCACCAAGGCGACGAUCCGUAGCUGGUCUGAGAGGAUGAUCGGCAACAGUGGAAAUGAGAGACGGACGAGACUAAUCCUGGAGGAGCCAGAGGGGAAGGUUGAAGAAGGGGCGCAGGUCGGAACGCGCGAUACCGCGUAAGUAAAGAAGGCAUGCGAGUUCUAAAGCCCUUUGACUGGAAAAGAAAAGUAGCAACUUAAUAACUCGCUGCUAUGACGGUCCCUAAAAAAUAAGCACCGGCUAACUUCGUG